rnacentral:rRNA from 1 species
GACGAACGCUGGCGGCAGGCCUAAUACAUGCAAGUCGAACGGCAGCACAGCAGAGCUUGCUCUGUGGGUGGCGAGUGGCGGACGGGUGAGGAAUACAUGGGAAUCUGCCCAGUCGUGGGGGAUAACGUAUGGAAACGUACGCUAAUACCGUAUAUUCUCUACGGAGGAAAGAUUUAUCGCUGAUGGAUGAGCCCGCGUUAGAUUAGGUAGUUGGUAGGGUAAUGGCCUACCAAGCCGACGAUCUAUAGCUGGUCUGAGAGGAUGAUCAGCCACACUGGGACUGAGACACGGCCCAGACUCCUACGGGAGGCAGCAGUGGGGAAUAUUGGACAAUGGGCGAAAGACCUGAUCCAGCAAUACCGCGUGAGUGAUGAAGGCCUUAGGGUUGUAAAGCUCUUUUAGUAGGGAAGAUAAUGACGGUACCUACAGAAAAGACCCCGGCUAACUCCGUG